rnacentral:misc_RNA from 1 species
UGUGAAUCCAUCCUGCAGGAAACCGAAGGCAGCUAAAGUAAAAUAUUGGACAAAAAAACACACAUUACAUAUAAAAAAAGAAAAAAUGUUUAACCACAACAAAUUCCACAUAAAAAAGAGAUUAUUGAAUGAGCAGCUAAAGUAAAAUACAGUGGAUAACUGAUCAUCCCAUUUUAUAGGAGUCUUAUCAUCAAGUUAUAGCAACCAUAAAAGCUAUUCCAAAAUAAUCGUGCUAAAAGGGUUCAAACUUCAAGCGACACACACCAAAUCUUAAUCCCUCAACCCAAUCCAAAAGAGUCAGCAAAGAAACCAAGCUAGUAUCUCAAUAGUUGCAAAAGAAAAUCUUACGAUCUUUACUUUUCCUAUCUGUUCCACAAACAAACAUCAAACUAUCUAGAAGGUUAAAGAAAGCUAAAAUCCACUAACUAUACACAAUUUUAAGCUAAAAAGCAUCAAGUAUAGAUGCUUGAAAUAUCAUCAGAUCCAUCAUAACCAAACCAAAGAGCAAAUUCUAACCCUACCCAGAUACUUCUACCCAUAGAAACAAGCAAGGGAUGCCAAAGACCACAUUGCAUAAGCAGUAUGUAAAAGAAAGAGUAGAGGAGGAAAACGAUAUCGAACCUGAGAAGAUUGCAGAAGGAGCGAGAUGAAGAACAGCCGCUACGAUUUCUUGUCGCAACUCUUGCAAGGCGAGAC